AGCGUACACGGUGGAUGCCCUGGCAGUCAGAGGCGAUGAAGGACGUGCUAAUCUGCGAUAAGCGUCGGUAAGGUGAUAUGAACCGUUAUAACCGGCGAUUUCCGAAUGGGGAAACCCAGUGUGUUUCGACACACUAUCAUUAACUGAAUCCAUAGGUUAAUGAGGCGAACCGGGGGAACUGAAACAUCUAAGUACCCCGAGGAAAAGAAAUCAACCGAGAUUCCCCCAGUAGCGGCGAGCGAACGGGGAGCAGCCCAGAGUCUGAAUCAGUGUGUGUGUUAGUGGAAGCGUCUGGAAAGGCGCGCGAUACAGGGUGACAGCCCCGUACACAAAAAUGCACAUACUGUGAGCUCGAUGAGUAGGGCGGGACACGUGGUAUCCUGUCUGAAUAUGGGGGGACCAUCCUCCAAGGCUAAAUACUCCUGACUGACCGAUAGUGAACCAGUACCGUGAGGGAAAGGCGAAAAGAACCCCGGCGAGGGGAGUGAAAAAGAACCUGAAACCGUGUACGUACAAGCAGUGGGAGCACGCUUAGGCGUGUGACUGCGUACCUUUUGUAUAAUGGGUCAGCGACUUAUAUUCUGUAGCAAGGUUAACCGAAUAGGGGAGCCGAAGGGAAACCGAGUCUUAACUGGGCGUUAAGUUGCAGGGUAUAGACCCGAAACCCGGUGAUCUAGCCAUGGGCAGGUUGAAGGUUGGGUAACACUAACUGGAGGACCGAACCGACUAAUGUUGAAAAAUUAGCGGAUGACUUGUGGCUGGGGGUGAAAGGCCAAUCAAACCGGGAGAUAGCUGGUUCUCCCCGAAAGCUAUUUAGGUAGCGCCUCGUGAACUCAUCUCCGGGGGUAGAGCACUGUUUCGGCAAGGGGGUCAUCCCGACUUACCAACCCGAUGCAAACUGCGAAUACCGGAGAAUGUUAUCACGGGAGACACACGGCGGGUGCUAACGUCCGUCGUGAAGAGGGAAACAACCCAGACCGCCAGCUAAGGUCCCAAAGUCAUGGUUAAGUGGGAAACGAUGUGGGAAGGCCCAGACAGCCAGGAUGUUGGCUUAGAAGCAGCCAUCAUUUAAAGAAAGCGUAAUAGCUCACUGGUCGAGUCGGCCUGCGCGGAAGAUGUAACGGGGCUAAACCAUGCACCGAAGCUGCGGCAGCGACGCUUAUGCGUUGUUGGGUAGGGGAGCGUUCUGUAAGCCUGCGAAGGUGUGCUGUGAGGCAUGCUGGAGGUAUCAGAAGUGCGAAUGCUGACAUAAGUAACGAUAAAGCGGGUGAAAAGCCCGCUCGCCGGAAGACCAAGGGUUCCUGUCCAACGUUAAUCGGGGCAGGGUGAGUCGACCCCUAAGGCGAGGCCGAAAGGCGUAGUCGAUGGGAAACAGGUUAAUAUUCCUGUACUUGGUGUUACUGCGAAGGGGGGACGGAGAAGGCUAUGUUGGCCGGGCGACGGUUGUCCCGGUUUAAGCGUGUAGGCUGGUUUUCCAGGCAAAUCCGGAAAAUCAAGGCUGAGGCGUGAUGACGAGGCACUACGGUGCUGAAGCAACAAAUGCCCUGCUUCCAGGAAAAGCCUCUAAGCAUCAGGUAACAUCAAAUCGUACCCCAAACCGACACAGGUGGUCAGGUAGAGAAUACCAAGGCGCUUGAGAGAACUCGGGUGAAGGAACUAGGCAAAAUGGUGCCGUAACUUCGGGAGAAGGCACGCUGAUAUGUAGGUGAAGCGACUUGCUCGUGGAGCUGAAAUCAGUCGAAGAUACCAGCUGGCUGCAACUGUUUAUUAAAAACACAGCACUGUGCAAACACGAAAGUGGACGUAUACGGUGUGACGCCUGCCCGGUGCCGGAAGGUUAAUUGAUGGGGUCAGCGCAAGCGAAGCUCUUGAUCGAAGCCCCGGUAAACGGCGGCCGUAACUAUAACGGUCCUAAGGUAGCGAAAUUCCUUGUCGGGUAAGUUCCGACCUGCACGAAUGGCGUAAUGAUGGCCAGGCUGUCUCCACCCGAGACUCAGUGAAAUUGAACUCGCUGUGAAGAUGCAGUGUACCCGCGGCAAGACGGAAAGACCCCGUGAACCUUUACUAUAGCUUGACACUGAACAUUGAGCCUUGAUGUGUAGGAUAGGUGGGAGGCUUUGAAGUGUGGACGCCAGUCUGCAUGGAGCCGACCUUGAAAUACCACCCUUUAAUGUUUGAUGUUCUAACGUUGACCCGUAAUCCGGGUUGCGGACAGUGUCUGGUGGGUAGUUUGACUGGGGCGGUCUCCUCCUAAAGAGUAACGGAGGAGCACGAAGGUUGGCUAAUCCUGGUCGGACAUCAGGAGGUUAGUGCAAUGGCAUAAGCCAGCUUGACUGCGAGCGUGACGGCGCGAGCAGGUGCGAAAGCAGGUCAUAGUGAUCCGGUGGUUCUGAAUGGAAGGGCCAUCGCUCAACGGAUAAAAGGUACUCCGGGGAUAACAGGCUGAUACCGCCCAAGAGUUCAUAUCGACGGCGGUGUUUGGCACCUCGAUGUCGGCUCAUCACAUCCUGGGGCUGAAGUAGGUCCCAAGGGUAUGGCUGUUCGCCAUUUAAAGUGGUACGCGAGCUGGGUUUAGAACGUCGUGAGACAGUUCGGUCCCUAUCUGCCGUGGGCGCUGGAGAACUGAGGGGGGCUGCUCCUAGUACGAGAGGACCGGAGUGGACGCAUCACUGGUGUUCGGGUUGUCAUGCCAAUGGCACUGCCCGGUAGCUAAAUGCGGAAGAGAUAAGUGCUGAAAGCAUCUAAGCACGAAACUUGCCCCGAGAUGAGUUCU
rnacentral:rRNA from 1 species